rnacentral:rRNA from 1 species
AUACGGAGGGGGCUAGCGUUGUUCGGAUUUACUGGGCGUAAAGGGCGCGUAGGCGGAUGUUCGCGUCAGAGGUGAAAGCCCCGGGCUCAACCUGGGAACUGCCUUUGAAACGGGACAUCUUGAGUUCGGGAGAGGGUAGCGGAAUUCCCAGUGUAGAGGUGAAAUUCGUAGAUAUUGGGAAGAACACCGGUGGCGAAGGCGGCUACCUGGCCCGAUACUGACGCUGAGGCGCGAAAGCGUGGGGAGCAAACAGGAUUAGAUACCCUGGUAGUCCACGCCGUAAACGAUGUGCGCUAGCCGUCGGGGUGCUUGGCACUUCGGUGGCGCAGUUAACGCAUUAAGCGCACCGCCUGGGGACUACGGCCGCAAGGCUAAA